AGAUGGACAAAUACAAAAAGAUUCUUCCAGAAACAAAGUGUGCUAAUAUCUUUCCAUCCUUCCCAAAAUUGAGGUGACUGGAAAUCUGCAGGAGAACGAAAUACUAUUUUCAGUGGGUAAAGAAACAAAAGUUCUGCAGUAACUGCAGGUUAGACAAGCAAGCAACUAAAUUAGAUUUUCUGUUUCACUUUGAAGGUAGAAUGUUUCAUACUUUGUAAAACUUGCCUGGUUGGUGUUACACACUGAUCUCAUUCUUUUGAGAACUCAAAGAGAAACUACAUGAGAUUUUUUUGGGUAGUUAUAGAUAUAAUAGUUAUAAAAAAUUUGGUAGCUUAUUUGUGAGCGUUAUGGCAUAUAAAUUUAACCACUUCUUGAAUACCAUGAAUUUUUUUUACAAUCACAUCAGAUUUAGAAAGGAUUGACACAUCUGCGAUGGUGACACACCAAAACAGAAUUCAAGUUUCUGUCCAGUGGACCCAUAAGGAUGCAGAUGCACUAUGUAGAUUCAGCCAUUUGAUUUCAAAUUGUAAACACACUAGCCAUCUUAUCAUUUAUAAAGUUGCAUCCAAACAGUUGCUGGAUCCUAAAAUUCUUAAUGCUGAAGGAUGUUUAGUUUAAUUCAGAUAUCAAAAUUAAACAGAAAGGCAAUUAAUAGUCAUAGCUUUCUUUUUUGGUUAUUUGUUCCUUUCCAUGUAAAAUUAUGCCAUUUGAAAUUUGCUUAGUUUCUCUCAACUGCAGUUUCCUGAUGUUCAAAUAAUACCGCACUUACUUAAGACUCAUGAAGAUUUCACUCGAAUCCAAUUUGAUAUGAACAGGACUAUUUCCUUUGUCACUAAAUUUUUUAAAUCUCACAAAAAGGUGAUUUCUUUUUCUGUAUAGGAUAUGUCACUGUCUACAGUUGAACUCCCUUUUAUAGCAUAUUGCAUUAAAUUUUAGAGUUCUGAGUUCUUGCCUCUGUGUCAUUACUAUUGAUUGCAAAGUUUCAGUUAGUUUUUGACGGCCAUCAGUAUUUAUCGGGAUAAUUAGCUUUAAAAUGCUUUAUUUGACAUCAUCUUUCUUUACCAGAGUUUCUGAACCUUGGUCCUUUCCUGGUUUAAGCUGUUUAUAGGGAAUCAUGUCGGUUUGGUUUUCACUAAAUUGACCACCGAUUUAUUCAAGAAAAUUCAUGUAGGAAACUGCAUGGCCAUCUUAUUUCUUCACAUUGCACCAUCCAAGACCAUAUGCUGGUGAACCAGAAUGUAUAUAUGAAUCACAUGCAAUGCUGCCAUCACCAGAUAAGUUCUUCUCAAUAUAUUACCUGAAGACUUCAAUGUACACUAUCUGUUGUUUCCUAAUGAUCAAACAAGAAACAAUAUGGAUGACACAGGUCUCUACAUAUUAUAAAACAUGGUUUCUUCAUAUACAUGGCUUCAUGUAUUAUAUUUGUUCCCGAGUUUAAGCAUAUUACAGUCAGUUUCUUUCUUUUCCAUGGUUCUGCAGAUUGCUGCUGUGUAUAUGACAAAACCAAAAAGAUGGAUUUGCUAAUUUUUACGUCCAACCAUUACUCAUGAUUGUGUGAAGAUGGCAACACAAUUCUUUGUUGUGAUGAUUGCUUUCUUUCUUUCGAUUGAUCUUUAGAACAAAAUAAAUAAAAACAAGCAGACAGAUCUUACUUGGCACAUCAAACGUGUCUUGGUGAAACAUUCCUGCGGUUUUCCUUCCUUGAGCCACUUCCUGAUGUCUCCUGCCUUGUCCAAUGUCACAGGGGAAAGAAGUGCAAGUGGAAGCGGGAAGAGAGAUCAACCAGAUUCGUCUGCGGUUAAUGAGGAGUGAAGAGUACUUUACCCAAAUAGUUGGUGCUCAUUGAAUAAGGUAAAUCCGGGGAAAAGAUUUCCUCGUGUUGGCCACCGCACGCGAUGAUGCAUGGUUUCCUUUUCUGGAUCCAUUAGUUGGACGCAGCAGCGUGUGGGUUUCGUUUCUGUUUCUGAGAUAUCUCCUCUUGGCAUAUUCACCGAACACAAUCACAUAGUUGAGGAUGCGGAUAAUGUGCAGAGUAUUUUGCGUAUGAGAGUUAUUAAGCGUCACGGUAUGUUCUCUGAACAAAAUCACUUAAUUAUGAGCGUAAUUUUUAUAUGCAGCGUACCGAGUUAUGUAGGCUACAGGUAGCACGUUGGAUUAGAAGUCCCAUGUCUGUUGCGGCCCAGCCCAUCCCAUCCCAUCCGGCCCGGCCCAUCUAUAAAACCCGGCGCCAUAGUAGUUAUAACUGCUUCCCCGCAAAUGCCGCUCUCCCUCCCCACGCGGCGAUUCGGGAGUUCGAGAACGAAUCAUGGAGGCUUCGCCUGCUUUGUUUCGUCUUGGUUUUGUUGGAUUUUGCUGCAGGAAGAUGGUGGUGUUGGUCACGACGGCCGACGUUGACGCGAGUUCCAGGCGCCUCGGAAUUGAUCUUUCCUUCCUUAGGUUGAUGUGGUUUCUUUCUCGGAAUUGAUCUUUCUUGGUUUCAGUCGAAGUCGCCCCGGUCGAGGACUUUGGCAUCGAAAGGUAAUGGACCCUAUCCUAACCCUAACCCUAACCCUCUCUUGGCCAGAGAGCUUUUGUUUCGUGUAAUGUUGUUUGUUUCUUGGGUUGAUCUGUUCCUCGUCUUUUUUUUUCUUUUUUUUUUUUUGGGCGAAGCUUUUGGCAUCAAAAGGUAAUGUACGUUAUCCUAACCCCAACACUAAGCGUGUCUUGGCCAUAGAUCUUUUCUUUCGCGUAAAGUUGUUUGUUUCUUGAGUUGAUGAUUUGUUCGUUAUUUUCCUUCUGGCGAAGAUUCUGGCAUCAAAAAGUAAUGUACCUUAGCCUAACCUAGCCCUAUUGACCAGCGAGCUUUUCUUUCGUGUAAUGUUGUUUGUUUCUUGAGUCCAUU
rnacentral:lncRNA from 1 species